UUCUUCAGCCGCUUCUCCCUCUCUCCCUUCCCCUCUCUUCUCAUAUUCAGUCUUCUUCUUAGUUCUUCCCCAAUGAUGACUGAACCUCCAAGCUCCCAUAUCUCUUUCUCUUUCCUUAUUUCUUUCUCUCUCUCUAGUUGAGACCUCCUUGUUAGGGAGGAUUAUGUCUCCAUUGGUUUUCCUAGUAGCUAAAACUCCAUGAGAUUUUGGAGUGGAUUAAACCCAAGGUUUUGAGAUUCUUGGUGAUGGACCUAGUGACGAGAUUGGUUGAUUUCCUUUAUUUUUGCAACUAAGAGAUACAUUUGAGGGAUUUUUGGAGUAGAGAUUCUUGGAAGACAACAGUUACGAAUUAUUUUGUGGAACUGAGGAUUUUAUUAUUAUUUUUAUGGCAUUAAACAUGGUACUGGAAAACUAUUUUGAGGAUGUUUUACAUUUGGUGGAUUAGAGCUCUAACAUUUGUGAUAAGAUUUUAGGUUUCUAGUUUCUUUUAUUUAAUAUUUUUUUAUUAUAGAUUAUUUAGA